AUAAAACGAUGGAGCAAGCACCUAAAUCAAAGUUCCAUUAUCAAAAGGCACAAAGUAGGUGCUUGCCCUACUACAAAAGCAAUACAGUGAGGAGAGAGUCCUGAAAACUAUAGCAUAGAAACAAACAGGUAGCUAACAAGCUAUCUAAUUUCCCACUUCAAAGUUUCCAUUGGUUUAUACAAGUCCACAUCUGGGAUUACUUUUAACUUUCUGCAACAAUUUAGCAUUUGGAAGAUCAAAAUUUGGACUUUUUCUAGAGCUGAGUUGGAUGCACAGCUCAAAAUACCAAAGAGUCUACCCCUGCCAGAGAUUUUACACGUUGCUCUUUAGGGGGAGCUUCUCCUGCCAUUGGGCUCAUAAACUUUAUUUUUAUUCUAGAUUUAUUAAUUUAAUAUUAUAUAAAUAAUAAAAAUAAAUUAAGUAUUUAUUAAUAAUAAUUAUAUAUUUAUAUCACGUAUAUACCUAUUCCCACAAGUAUACUAAAAUAACAUUCACCUCGGCAUCUUGAAUCACAGCCUUAAUCCUGGUAACGGUGUCGUUGAGCUUCCGUAAUUGAUCCUUGAGCCCCCCACCGUGGUGCGGCCUCCUGAGCAGUCAGGGAACAUAGCCUGUUUAUUAUUUCCUCUGUAAUAUCGAAAAGCACAACCGCAGCCAUUAUUUUUUCGUAAAUGGUUUGAAAUGAUGAACACUUUGUGUGCUAAAAGGGUUUUGUAUACUGCAGAAAAUAAUGCGUAUACUGUUGAAGCAACAGCAGAAAUCCUUCAAGGGGGCUAUUAUUAAUUGCAGGAAGCUAAUUAAGGAUAAGGGGCAAGGGGGAGAGGUGGAGGACACAGUCUAGCCAGCCAUUUA
rnacentral:lncRNA from 1 species